GGUCUUGACAUCCCGGAGACCCUUAGGAACUAGGGGUGCUUCCAUCUGGAAGAAUCUGGAGACAGGUGCUGCAUGGCUGUCGUCAGCUCGUGUCGUGAGAUGUUGGGUUAAGUCCCGCAACGAGCGCAACCCUUGCCUUUAGUUGCCAGCAGUUCGGCUGGGCACUCUAAAGGGACUGCCGGUGUUAAACCGGAGGAAGGUGGGGAUGACGUCAAGUCCUCAUGGCCUUUAUGACCAGGGCUACACACGUACUACAAUGGCCGAUACAAAGGGCAGCGACACUGCGAGGUGAAGCCAAUCCCGUAAAAUCGGUCUCAGUCCGGAUUGGAGUCUGCAACUCGACUCCAUGAAGUUGGAAUCGCUAGUAAUCGUGGAUCAGCAUGCCACGGUGAAUACGUUCCCGGGCCUU
rnacentral:rRNA from 1 species